GAUGAACGCUGGCGGCGUGCCUAAUACAUGCAAGUCGAGCGAACGGACGAGAAGCUUGCUUCUCUGAUGUUAGCGGCGGACGGGUGAGUAACACGUGGAUAACCUACCUAUAAGACUGGGAUAACUUCGGGAAACCGUAGCUAAUACCGGAUAAUAUUUUGAACCGCAUGGUUCAAAAGUGAAAGACGGUCUUGCUGUCACUUAUAGAUGGAUCCGCGCUGCAUUAGCUAGUUGGUAAGGUAACGGCUUACCAAGGCAACGAUGCAUAGCCGACCUGAGAGGGCGAUCGGCCACACUGGAACGGAGACACGGUCCAGACUCCUACGGGAGGCAGCAGUAGGGAAUCCUCCGCAAUGGGCGAAAUCCUGACGGAGCAACGCCGCGUGAGUGAUGAAGGUCUUCGGAUCGUAAAACUCUGUUAUUAGGGAAGAACAUAUGUGUAAGUAACUGUGCACAUCUUGACGGUACCUAAUCAGAAAGCCACGGCUAACUACGUG
rnacentral:rRNA from 1 species